UGGUUCUGGCAUCGAUGAAGAACGCAGCGAAAUGCGAUAAGUAAUGUGAAUUGCAGAAUUCAGUGAAUCAUCGAAUCUUUGAACGCACAUUGCGCCCUUUGGCAUUCCGAAGGGCAUGCCUGUUCGAGCGUCAUUACACCAAUCAAGCCUGGCUUGGUAUUGGGCGACGGGGCGGUCACACGCCCCGCGCCCCAAUGACUCCCCGGCGGGACGUUACCGUAUCUCAGCGUUGUGGUCAAAAGCCGCUGGCGAGACGGGGCGGCCGUGCCGUUAAACCUUCUAUUCUAAGGUUGACCUCGGAUCAGGUAGGGAUACCCGCUGA
rnacentral:misc_RNA from 1 species